AGCAGCCGCGGUAAUUCCAGCUCCAAUAGCGUAUAUUAAAGUUGUUGCAGUUAAAAAGCUCGUAGUUGAAUUUCGGGAUCAUUAGGUUGGUCGUGCCUCCGGUAUGUACUGAUCUCGGUGGUUCCUACUUCUUGAAGAACCGUAAUGCCAUUAAUUUGGUGUUGCGGGGAAACAGGACUGUUACUUUGAAAAAUUAGAGUGUUUAAAGCAGGCAAUCGCUUGAAUACAUUAGCAUGGAAUAAUGAAAUAGGACGUUCGAUCCUAUUUUGUUGGUUUCUAGGAUUGACGUAAUGAUUAAUAGGGAUAGUUGGGGGCAUUAGGUAUUCAAUUGUCAGAGGUGAAAUUCUUGGAUUUAUUGAAGACUAACUACUGCGAAAACAUUUGCCAAGGAUGUUUUCAUUAAUCUAAG
rnacentral:rRNA from 1 species